rnacentral:tRNA from 1 species
GGUAGCUCAGUGGUAGAGUGCUUGCCUUGCAUGCAUGAGGUCCUGGGUUCGAUUCAUAAGCC